CAAAAUAUCUGACCGUAACUAUCGGGGUAAUUCUGGACAGGCAUGAAGGAGACCUAAAGGGGAAAGGACCUAAGAAAGACAGAGAGAACAGGACUAGGUCAGACAGAAAUGGAACGUCAGAGGAAGGGAGAAAGGGGGGGGGCAAAGAUGUUACAAUUGUAAUAAAAACUGACAUUUCGCCAGGGAAUGCGAGGUUCCAUGUGGAUAUUGUAAAAAAAAAAAGGACAUCAGCGCCGCGAUUGUAAACAGAAACCACCAAAAUUAUAAUUCAACUAAGGGGAAAGUCAGGCGCGACAAACGGGAGAAAAAGAGGCAACGAGAGCGCGAUUAAUGAGAAUCCUCGCUGGGGAAACGCUUGGAUCUUUAAAUUAGAGCUAUUUUCUGGGAAUUGCCUCGGUGCCGGAGUUUGCGACUACAGAAAAUAAUAAUAAUAGGGUUAUUGGCUCCUUUAUUCCUAAAGUGAUGGUGGUUCAAUGGUUAAAUGGCUGCCUUCCAAGCUUGAGACCUGAGUUCGAUUCAUGCAGAACUACAGAAGGAGAUUACCCACAUGAUUGGGCCAGGGGACUGGGUCUGGGUCCAAUCACUAAAGAAAAAGGACUGGAAGCAGCCACGGUGGUAGGGGCCAUACCAAGCACUCCUGGUGACUGCAUUCGCAGUGAGAAUAGUUGAAAGAACUACCUGGGUUCAUAUCACACAAUGCAAGAGGGUAAGACACACUGACACUGCCAAACCAUCACAGAGUUAAGAGAAGAACCGUAGCUAAUAAAGCUCGGGGGUUAACUCUUUUAACGAAGAUUUCCCUGACCCCGCCCUCUCAUCACUGUGUACGUUCAUAGAAGUGGAAGUAUGGUCUGGCCUCUGACUGCUGAUAUGUUUUCCGGGAAAGGGUGGGGCCUUACAGGGGUGCUGGUUGGUCUGAGCUAUCUUAUUGUGGGAGCCAUAUUCCUAAUACACCACACCCCACCUGAGUAUGCAGAAGGUGGUAACUUGACCCAUGGUUUCGAUGAUGAGAAUUUUGUAUUAACCAAGCAUAAGAGAUCCCUUGAUCUGGAUAGACAGGAAGUUAGAGUGGAGGUUGGGAAGGAUGUCUCAAUGGAGUUUUAUGUAGACCAAAUGGGGUCUCUGACUCCUGGGCAGUCUAGGACUAUGAGCCAUUAUGGAAUAUAUCUGUGUAGGUCCCCGUGUGGUUCAUGGACACAGGUCAUAGCUCACACACAGAGAGAGAGGGCUAUGUAAACCCAUACAUCCAAUUUGGGAGCAGAUGGAGUAUAGUAAGGGUUGGAGUUUCUGACUGUGUUCCCGAGCAGAGGUAGUAUUUUAUAAAGGUACGAAUUAACAUUAAAACGGUAAAGUCCCAGGAUCUCGGGUUAUGGUAUGUUGGCUUCGAACAGUUUUCAACUGAUACUAUGGUAACAUUCCAGGUGGCAGAGGUUAGAGCUGGUAAGGAGACUAUGGUCGGCCAGAGUUCAAUCAAUCUCCCUAACACCACGGACAUUCCUAGUAUAAACAUCCAGGGUAAAGGACCAGUACGAAUAGUUCAGACAAAAGACCUUAAAGAAGUGAUAGAGGUGGAGACUGGGUUUGGGGAUUCCAACUUUGGUUAAAAUGUAUUCAGUAUACAGCCAGAUCAGUAGCGAAAGAAGAAUGUUAUGUCUGUGCUACUGCCAAACCACAGCUGACCACCAUCCCCUUUCCAUUUGAUGGAAUUGAUAUACUCAGGGGAAUGGCCUGUAUGGUAAAGCUGUUCAUGAAGUCAGGGAAGCCAGACAAUGACAGUUGCUUUGAUCUGCAUAACCUUUAUCCCCAUGUACCCAUCACCUCCAUUCCCCCUUUCACAGUUACAGAAGGACACUAUUAUUGUAUGGCCUGGCACAUCACAAACGGAUGGGACGUAGGGGAAGUAAGACCUGACUGGAUGGUUGACUUCCGGGGAUUUCAGUAAGAUAAAAAGGCCCAGAGCGGAUGUCUGGUUGUUAUGUGGAGGGAUGAGGCUGUGGCCUGACCUGCCUACCAAUUGGACCGAUAGUUGUGCACUAGUGCAGUUAGGCAUGCCCUUCACCCUUAUCUAAAACGAGGACCUAGAACCAGGUAGAAGAGAGAGGAGGAGUGCUCCGUCCGGAUCUUUUGAUAGUAGUAUUAAUAGUACUUAAUAGUAUUUACAUAGGAUAGUAUUGGAUAUGUUAUUGGCUGAAAAGGGUGGCGUGUGCGUCUUAUUCGGAGCAAAAUGUUGCACAUUUAUUACUGAUAAUACAGCUCCAGACGGAUCAGUGACCAAGGCUCUGGCUGGUUUAACCACCUUAACUCACGAAUUGGCAGAAAACUCUGGGGUCGAUAAUUCUCUUACAAAUGGAUUUGAUAGUAUGUUUGGGAAGUAGAAAAUUGUCAUAAUCACUGUGUUGUGGGCCAAUUUCACCUGUAUGAGUGUUUUGGUUCUGUGUGAAUGCUGUUUGAUUCUGGGUGUGAAAGGUCUCAUUUCCAGGACUCUGGAGAAAUCGAUGACAAUACUGAUGAUAAGAUAUGGACCGAUUCCAAGUUCUGACCAGUGGAAGGAUGAAUACUGGUUCCCAGACCGAGGAUGGAUCCGGCUACUUUAAGACAUUAUAAAUAUUUAGGUCCCAUCUUGUGUUGAUGCUUAGACUAUUUUUUGAUAAAGAUUAUAAUGAAAAUCCUGUUAAGAAGAGUUAUGAUUCUGAUGAAGGCCUGGAACAGCCAUUGUAAAUACAUAUAUUGGUUAUUGUGUGGUUGAUGUUGUGUUAGAUGUUGUGGUUGAUUUAGGUUGUAUUUGGAAAACAAUAAAUAUUUCUAAUAAAAAUAGAUUUGUGCCUUUUAAUAUUUCUAAUAAAACUAGAUUACGAUUAGAUGUAAAAUAUUUAGUCAUAUGGUGGAUAUGUUACGGGAUUUUUGUCUUUAAUGACUAAAAUAUGUAUACAUUUGACUUAGAAUUAUAACUAAACAGAAUACUACUAUGUUACUGUAUGGAUGAAUGAAUCUUAUUAUAAUCAUAAUGCUGAAUAUAAUGUGUUCCUUGUUAGAAAGAAUGGAGUUAUCUUCAGACAGGCUGGAAUGAUGUGUUCCUUACAGGAAAUUCAGUCUCUACCCAGGGAGGGGAGAGACCUUGGGUUGGUUGCAGAUUGUUUAACAGGUGGCAGACAGUAAUGUGAGAACGCUAACUGUACUACCAUUGUAUCCGAGAGGAGGAAGGACAUUUUAAAACCUAUGACGUCAUUUUUAUUAUAUAACCUGAUGUAAAUUGUACUAUGAUCAGUACUCUCGAGAAUAAACGCGAUUGAUUGAUUUUGA